AUGAACGCUGGCGGCGUGCCUAAUACAUGCAAGUCGAGCGAACAGACGAGGAGCUUGCUCCUCUGACGUUAGCGGCGGACGGGUGAGUAAUACGUGGAUAACCUACCUAUAAGACUGGGAUAACUUCGGGAAACCGGAGCUAAUACCGGAUAAUAUAUUGAACCGCAUGGUUCAAUAGUGAAAGACGGUUUUGCUGUCACUUAUAGAUGGAUCCUCGCCGCAUUAGCUAGUUGGUAAGGUAACGGCUUACCAAGGCAACGAUGCGUAGCCGACCUGAGAGGGGGAUCGGCCACACUGGAACUGAGACACGGUCCAGACUCCUACGGGAGGCAGCAGUAGGGAAUCUUCCGCAAUGGGCGAAAGCCUGACGGAGCAACGCCGCGUGAGUGAUGAAGGUCUUCGGAUCGUAAAACUCUGUUAUUAGGGAAGAACAAAUGUGUAAGUAACUAUGCACGUCUUGACGGUACCUAAUCAGAAAGCCACGGCUAACUACGUG
rnacentral:rRNA from 1 species